AUUGAACGCUGGCGGCAGGCCUAACACAUGCAAGUCGAACGGCAGCGCGGUCAUCGCCUGCGCGGCGGGGUGCCAAGGGGCGGGCAGUUCAGGGGUACGUGGCCAUCUGCUGGGGCUAGGGGGGUAAAAGCGGGAAAAAUACGCUAUUCCAGCAUACGGCGAACGCGGGGGAGCAUGGGAUCUUCCGCCCUUGCGCGGGUGGAUGGGCCGAUGGCGGAUUAGCUAGGUGGUGGGGUAAAGGCCCACCAAGGCGACGAUCGGUAGCUGGUCUGAGAGGACGAUCAGCCACACUGGAACUGAGACACGGCCCAGACUCCUACGGGAGGCAGCAGUGGGGAAUAUUGGACAAUGGGCGAAAGCCUGAUCCAGCAAUACCGCGUGGGUGAUGAAGGCCUUCGGGUUGUAAAGCACUUUUGGCGGGAACGAAAAGCAGCAUGUUAAUACCACGAUGUGAUGACGGUACCCGCAGAAUAAGCACCGGCUAACUACGUG
rnacentral:rRNA from 1 species